UAGUGGGGAGGACCAGGCCACGGUGAAGGCAGGUCAUGCGCUCCUCACGCUCCACGAACGGAACCUGCGCACGGAGGCGGUAGCGCGGGGUGGCAGCCGGCAAUGAGGCGGCCGCGCUACGUGACGAGCUACGGGUCCCCCUUUGUGAUGUUUUGGCAUCGCUCCUUCAUCGCACAUCCUCAGGUACGUCAAUUCACUUCCUUCCCUUCCCUUCGUCCCUCGGUCCCACGCUCGUGGCGCUGAAGUGGUGGCAACAGGCGAUGGCGGUGGUGUCGCUGAUGGCGGCGAGGACAGCAUGUGGCAGCUCCCGAAGCAUGAACACGACCGCACCUCGGGCCUGCCGUCUGCCAAGAUAUGGCUCUGGCCGAUUGACAAUGGAGGUUUGGGAUCCUUCCUCUCAGCACCCACUCCUGGAAGAAUCAGCGGUGCGCCACGCCGAUUGAACCCCGUCGAGAUCACUCGCCAAGAUUGCUAUUCUGAAGUUUA